rnacentral:rRNA from 1 species
GUCCACGCCCUAAACGAUGUCAACUAGUUGUUGGGGAGUUUACUUCCUUGGUAACGUAGCUAACGCGUGAAGUUGACCGCCUGGGGAGGUACGGCCGCAAGGUUAAAACUACAAGGAAUUGACGGGGACCCGCCACAAGCGGUGGAUGAUGUGGAUUAAUUCGAUGCAACGCGAAAAACCUUACCUACCCUUGACAUGGCAGGAACUUUCCAGAGAUGGAUUGGUGCUCGAAAGAGAGCCUGCACACAGGUGCUGCAUGGCUGUCGU